rnacentral:rRNA from 1 species
GUGGGGAAUAUUGGACAAUGGGCGAAAGCCUGAUCCAGCCAUGCCGCGUGUGUGAAGAAGGUCUUCGGAUUGUAAAGCACUUUAAGUUGGGAGGAAGGGCAGUAAGUUAAUACCUUGCUGUUUUGACGUUACCGACAGAAUAAGCACCGGCUAACUUCGUGCCAGCAGCCGCGGUAAUACGAAGGGUGCAAGCGUUAAUCGGAAUUACUGGGCGUAAAGCGCGCGUAGGUGGUUUUGUAAGUUGGAGGUGAAAUCCCCGGGCUCAACCUGGGAACUGCCUCAAAAACUGCAUGACUAGAGUACGGUAGAGGGUAGUGGAAUUUCCUGUGUAGCGGUGAAAUGCGUAGAUAUAGGAAGGAACACCAGUGGCGAAGGCGACUACCUGGACUGAUACUGACACUGAGGUGCGAAAGCGUGGGGAGCAAACAGGAUUAGAAACCCCGGUAGUCC